rnacentral:rRNA from 1 species
CACGUAGUUAGCCGUGGCUUAUUCAAGGGGGUACCGUCUUCCGCUCUUCCCCCUUAAAAGAAGUUUACAACCCGAAAGCCUUCUUCCUUCACGCGGCGUUGCUGGGUCAGACUUGCGUCCAUUGCCCAAUAUUCCCCACUGCUGCCUCCCGUAGGAGUCUGGGCCGUAUCUCAGUCCCAAUGUGGCCGGCCAACCUCUCAGUCCGGCUACUGAUCGUCGCCUUGGUGGGCCGUUACCUCACCAACUAGCUAAUCAGACGCGAGGCCAUCUUCCAGCGAUAAAUCUUUGACGUUCAGAGUCAUGCGGCUCCAACGCAUCAUGCGGUAUUAGCAGUCGUUUCCAACUGUUCGUCCCCCUCUGGAAGGCAGGUUCCUCACGCGUUACUCACCAGUCCGCACUAGCACUUCCAUCCGUUCGUCCGAAAACUCCUUCAGGGGGUCGCGUCCCGUUCGACC